UGGGGAAUAUUGCGCAAUGGGCGAGAGCCUGACGCAGCAACGCCGUGUGAGGGAUGAAGGCUUUCGGGUCGUAAACCUCUGUCAGAAGGGAAGAACGGGUGAGGGUCUAACAGGCCUUUAUUUUGACGGUACCUUCAGAGGAAGCACCGGCUAACUCCGUGCCAGCAGCCGCGGUAAUACGGAGGGUGCAAGCGUUAUUCGGAAUUACUGGGCGUAAAGCGCACAUAGGCGGCCUUGUAAGUCAGGGGUGAAAUCCCACGGCUCAACCGUGGAACUGCCCUUGAAACUGCGGGGCUUGAAUCCUGGAGAGGGUGGCGGAAUUCCUGGUGUAUGAGUGAAAUCCGUAGAUAUCAGGAGGAACACCGGUGGCGAAGGCGGCCACCUGGACAGGCAUUGACGCUGAGGUGCGAAAGUGUGGGGAGCAAACAG
rnacentral:rRNA from 1 species